UUGCCUAUAACAUAAUUUACGGCUUCGCUCCUCAAACAAAACUAUCUAAGGUGCCACUCCCUCUCUCUCCUUCUAUGUCUAUCACUUUCUUUCUCUAACUAACACUUGCCACCCAUGUAUAAAGUUGAUCUCUCAAAACUUAAGCAAAGCGUCUUGCUGUCAUCCAUCUUCAAAUGGGAAGGGAGAAGGAGCACAGAGAAUGGGAUUCGAUGUUGCAAUUAGAGUUCUUGUACCAUAUGUAUAGCAUAGAAAUUGUGCUAGGCACAUCCAUGCAAACUAGAAGAAGGUGUAUAACGGAGAAGGUUUUAAAAAAGCAUUCUAGGAGGUAGUAUACUCAACUUAUGAGGCAGAGUUUGAGAAGAAGUUAAAGGAAUUACAGAAUAUUUCAGUCAAUGGUGCGAAUGACUUUCUAAGAAAAGAUAAGACUAAGUUCUGCAGAGCCUUUAAAAGUAUUGAUCCCAAAGUAGAUGAUGUAACUAGUAACAUAGCUGAGACAUUUAAUGGUUACAUAGUGAAAGCAAGGACGACGCCUCUUAUUCUCAUGCUAGAGGAAAUUAGAACUAUAUUGAUGGAAAGAAACUUCUACAAUAAGAUGAGAGCUGAGAAAUGGAAUGAUGAGGUAAGAAUUAGAAGGAUAAUUGAAAAAGCCAAACUGGGUACUUCAUGUUGUGUGUCAAGACCAUCCGAUGGGAAUAAGUUUCAGGUCCAAGUUUCUGGUAUUUGUUGUGUCAUUGGAUGAUAGAGAGUGCUCAUGUAGAGUGUGGCAAUUGUCAGGAGUUCCUGUUGUCAUGUUAUUUCAUGUAUCCACUACAUGAGACAUGGCCUAAUGGACUAUGUACAUGAGUCAUUAAAGAAAAAGAUGUACUGUGUUGGGUUAAUUUAGCCUAUAAUGUAGAAGUGGGCCCCAUAAUUAAUAUUUUUAUUUUUCAAUUAAGUCCAAUUCUAAAAUCAGGGUAUAAUUAAAACGAAAAGUGCAAUUUGGGGUGUGUAGAGGAUAAAGGUCAUUUUAGGGUAAAAAUGAGACUAUUCGAAAAGGUGAGGGUGAAAACAAUGGUUUAGCCAAUCUAAUUAAGAGUACUUUGAUUAUUUCAUGCUUGAAUUAUAGUAAAGCAGAUGAAUUUGAAAAAUGUUUAAAUAUAGUUCAAAAUUUUCUUAAAUGCACCUUAUUUCACUUAUUUAAUUUGAUCAAAUCUAAUAAUUUCAUUUAUGCUCACCUUUCAGCAUUUUCUAAAUUACAUCAUUUUUUAAAAAUUUUAUAGGUUCUUGUAACAUAUUCCCGUAAUUGGUUCUUAUUAUAUGCAAUUAACUGAAUUAAAAAUUUUAAAAACAUGAGAAAAAAUUUAAAUUAAACCCAAUUUGGAAUUUUUUUUUUAAAAAAAUAGAUAUGGUAAUAUGGAAAAAAAAAUUUUUAACCAUUCAUAACUAAGAAUGCUCGUUUUACCCGAUUUGUUUAUAAAUGGAGCGAAUAAAUAUAUGUACAACUCGAUCCAAACUUACCUGACUCAAUCCAAUUAUUUGUUUUCCUUUUAAAAAAAAAAAAACUCUAACUAUUUAGUACAUAUUGAUAGUUAGAAAGUUAAACAAAAGAUAAUAUGGAGAAAAAUGAUAAGAACUUAUUAUAUUUAUAAAAAAUAAAAUACUCCCUCCGUCUCAUAUAUAUAGGUUCAUUUUCCUUUUUUUGUACGUACCUAUUUCACAUUUUUGAAAAAUCAUUUAUUACGUAAUUUCUUAAUAUACCCCUAUUUAAUGUACGUCUCUUUUCCCAAUUGUACAUAUAUCAUUUAAUAUUAUAAAGGGAUAAUUUUGGAAAAAACUAAACAAAAAUAUAAUUUAAUUAUAUUAACUAGCUUUUCUUAAUCUAUAUGAAAGUCAAACUAUAUAUAUAUAUAUAUGGGACGAAUGGAGUAAAGCUUAAGUAUCUGUGCGAAGAGAAUGAUGAUAAUUUUUAUAGAGAAUGCGUAUAGUGGUUGUCUUGUUCGAGCGUGGAAUAUGAGUUUAUAUUAUUGAGCGGCGGACUCGGGUAUUUAAUGUAUAUUUGAUAAAUUGUUACUGAAUCCUCUGAAUAUACGUUGUGCCUUGUAUUUAUAUGUGCUAAGGGUCUUAUGCUUAUUAAAGCUUCAUAUAUUUACAAAUAAGAUUUUGGUAUAUUUAUUAUGGUCUAUUGUGCAUGUGCAUACACACAUAUGUAUAAAAAUUUGAUUUAAUAUAGAGCGACGAAGGAUAA